UGGUCAAGUUAUUAAGGGUGCAGGGCGGAUGCCUUGGCACUAGGAGCCGAUGAAGGACGUGAUAAGCUGCGAUAAGCUUCGGGGAGUUGCACGUAAACUUUGAUCCGAAGAUUUCCGAAUGAGGAAACUCACUUAGAGUAAUGUCUAAGUAUCAUUAAGUGAAUACAUAGCUUAAUGAGGGGAACUCAGGGAACUGAAACAUCUAAGUACCUGAAGGAAGAGAAAGAAAUUCGAUUCCGUAAGUAGCGGCGAGCGAACGCGGAUUAGCCCAAACCAAUAAAGUUUUCUUUAUUGGGGUUGCGGACAUAUCAUAACGAAGAGGUAUCGUAAUUGAAGAGGUUUGGAAAGACCCACCACAGAAGGUAAUAGUCCUGUAUGUUAAACGAGAAGACUUUAGAUAUGAUCCAGAGUACCACGGGACACGUGAAACCCUGUGGGAAGCAGGAGGGACCACCCUCCAAGGCUAAAUACUACCUAGUGACCGAUAGCGUAUAGUACCGUGAGGGAAAGGUGAAAAGAACCCCGGGAGGGGAGUGAAAUAGAACCUGAAACCCUGCACUUACAAGCUGUGGAAGCACAUUUCUUGUGUGACCGCGUACUUUUUGUAGAACGGGCCAACGAGUUACGUUAAGUAGCAAGGUUAAGCACUUAAGGUGUGGAGCCGUAGCGAAAGCGAGUUUUAACUGAGCGUUCAGUUACUUGACGUAGACCCGAAACCGGGCGACCUACCCAUGAGCAGGAUGAAGCGAAAGUAAAAUUUCGUGGAGGUCCGAACCCACGAGCGUUGAAAAGCUCGGGGAUGACUUGUGGGUAGCGGUGAAAUUCCAAUCGAGCCCGGAGAUAGCUGGUUCUCCCCGAAAUAGCUUUAGGGCUAGCCUCAAGGUGAGAGAUACGGAGGUAGAGCACUGAAUGUCCUAGGGGGUAUUGCACCUACCGAAGACUAUCAAACUCCGAAUGCCGUCAUCUUAUACUUGGGAGUCAGACUGUGGGUGAUAAGAUUCAUAGUCGAAAGGGCAACAGCCCAGAUCGUCAGCUAAGGUCCCUAAAUGUAAGUUAAGUGGUAAAGGAUGUGGGAUUGCACAGACAACCAGGAUGUUGGCUUAGAAGCAGCCACUCAUUCAAAGAGUGCGUAAUAGCUCACUGGUCGAGUGAUCCUGCGCCGAAGAUUUCCGGGGCUAAAACUUACUACCGAAGCUACGGCAUCAGUAAUGAUGGGUAGGGGAGCUUCCCAUACGGGUUGAAGCAUGACCGUAAGGACAUGUGGACAGUAUGGGAGUGAGAAUGUUGGCAUGAGUAGCGAGAUGUGGGUGGGAAUCCCACAGGCCGUAAACCCAAGGUUUCCAGGGGAAGGUUCGUCCGCCCUGGGUUAGUCGGGACCUAAGCUGAGGCCGAAAGGCGUAGGUGAUGGACAACAGGUUGAUAUUCCUGUACUACCGAUAACCAUUUGAGAGAAGGGAUGACACAGUAGGAUAAGCUAAGCACACUGUUGGUUAUGUGUGCCCAAGCAUUGAGGCAGUCAAAGUAGGCAAAUCCGCUUUGAUAAUGCUGGGAUGUGAUGGGGAGCGAAAUUUAGUAGCGAAGUAGCUGAUUUCACACUGUCAAGAAAAGUCUCUAUCGAGGUUAAAGGUACCCGUACCGCAAACCGACACAGGUGGGUGAGGAGAGUAUCCUAAGGCCAGCGAGAGAACUGUUGUUAAGGAACUCGGCAAAAUGACCCCGUAACUUAGGGAUAAGGGGUGCCACCAUCAGGUGGCCGCAGAGAAUAGGCCCAAGCGACUGUUUACCAAAAACAUAGGUUUCUGCUAAGUCGCAAGACGAUGUAUAGGAGCUGACGCCUGCCCGGUGCUGGAAGGUUAAGGGGAUCUGUUAGAGCAAUCGAAGCAGUGAACUUAAGCCCCAGUAAACGGCGGCCGUAACUAUAACGGUCCUAAGGUAGCGAAAUUCCUUGUCGGGUAAGUUCCGACCCGCACGAAAGGCGUAACGAUUUGGGCACUGUCUCAACAACAGACUCGGUGAAAUUGUAAUUCCGGUGAAGAUGCCGGAUACCUGCGACAGGACGGAAAGACCCCAUGGAGCUUUACUGUAGCUUGACAUUGGGUCUUGGUACUACAUGUACAGGAUAGGUGGGAGGCUUUGAAACCAGGACGCCAGUUUUGGCGGAGCCAUCCUUGGGAUACCACCCUUGUAGUACUGGGACUCUAACCAUAGGCCAUGAAUCUGGUCUUGGGACACUGUCAGGUGGGCAGUUUGACUGGGGCGGUCGCCUCCCAAAAGGUAACGGAGGCGCUCAAAGGUUCUCUCAGUACGGUCGGAAAUCGUACGUAGAGUGUAAAGGCAAAAGAGAGCUUGAUUGCAAGACAUACAGGUCGAGCAAGGAUGAAAAUCGGACUUAGUGAUCCGGUGGUUCUGCGUGGAAGGGCCAUCGCUCAACGGAUAAAAGCUACCCUGGGGAUAACAGGCUUAUCUCCCCCAAGAGUCCACAUCGACGGGGAGGUUUGGCACCUCGAUGUCGGCUCAUCACAUCCUGGGGCUGUAGUAGGUCCCAAGGGUUGGGCUGUUCGCCCAUUAAAGUGGUACGCGAGCUGGGUUCAGAACGUCGUGAGACAGUUCGGUCCCUAUCCGUCGCAGGCGUAGGAAAUUUGAGAAGACCUGUCCUUAGUACGAGAGGACCGGGAUGGACGUACCUCUGGUGUACCAGUUGUUCUGCCAAGGGCAUGGCUGGGUAGCUAUGUACGGAAUGGAUAAGCGCUGAAAGCAUCUAAGCGCGAAGCCAACUUCAAGAUAAGAUUUCCCACCGCAAGGGUAAGACCCCAGAAAGACUAUCUGGUUGAUAGGUCGAAGGUGUAAGUGCAGCAAUGUAUUUAGCUUAUCGAUACUAAUAGGUCGAGGACUUGACCAAU
rnacentral:rRNA from 1 species